rnacentral:rRNA from 1 species
GACGAACGCUGGCGGCGUGCUUAACACAUGCAAGUCGAACGAAGUGGCGAACGGGUGAGUAACGCAUAAUCAACCUGCCAUUCAGAGGGGGACAACAGCUGGAAACGACUGCUAAUAACGCAUACUGAAGGAGGGGAUUGCGUCUGAUGAGCUAGUGGGAGGGGUAACGGCCCACCAAGGCGAUGAUCAGUAGCCGGGCUGCGAGGGUGAACGGCGACAUUGGGACUGGGAAACGGCCAAGACUCCUACGGGAGGCAGCAGUGGGGAAUCUUCCGCAAUGGGCGAAAGUCUGUCUGAGCACCGCCGCGUGGGUGAUGACGGCCUUCGGGUUGUAAAGCUCUGUUAAUCGGGACGCGGUACCGGAAUAGAAAGCCCCGGCUAACUACGUGCCAGCAGCCGCGUUAAUAC